UCGUGAAUGGGAUGAUCGUUUGAGAACAUGGUUGAAUCGGUGCGCAUUCAAUUUCAUUAAACCGACGGUGUGUGUCCUGUAUGUUAGAAAGGUUCGUUGGACGGAUUCCCGGGGUACUGCGCGCUAUACCUGUACGUUAUCACAACGUUCUGCCACGCUGUACAGAAUCAACAUGGCAAAGGUUGUUGAUGCCUUUAAGGAAUCCAAAGUAAUGACGUCAGCUAGAGAAGUACUAGAUGCUGACGAUGACACACACCUUGUAUGCCCAUGGGAAAGACUGAAAAAUGAUUUAAAGAAGUAAAACAAACAAUACAAAUAAUCUACUGAUGGGUAUACGUUCGGCACUCUGAUGUAGAAUAGUUCGGUUUGAUGUUUUAUGUGAUUUGAAUAUUGAUCAAAACAC